GACGAACGCUGGCGGCGUGCUUAACACAUGCAAGUCGAACGGAAAGGCCCUGCUUUUGUGGGGUGCUCGAGUGGCGAACGGGUGAGUAACACGUGAGUAACCUGCCCUUGACUUUGGGAUAACUUCAGGAAACUGGGGCUAAUACCGGAUAGGAGCUCCUGCUGCAUGGUGGGGGUUGGAAAGUUUCGGCGGUUGGGGAUGGACUCGCGGCUUAUCAGCUUGUUGGUGGGGUAGUGGCUUACCAAGGCUUUGACGGGUAGCCGGCCUGAGAGGGUGACCGGCCACAUUGGGACUGAGAUACGCCCCAGACUCCUACGGGAGGCAGCAGUGGGGAAUAUUGCACAAUGGGCGGAAGCCUGAUGCAGCAACGCCGCGUUCGGGAUGACGGCCUUCGGGUUGUAAACCGCUUUCGCCUGUGACGAAGCGUGAGUGACGGUAAUGGGUAAAGAAGCACCGGCUAACUACGUG
rnacentral:rRNA from 1 species